rnacentral:rRNA from 1 species
GACAGAGGGGGGCAAGCGUUGCUCGGAAUCACUGGGCGUAAAGGGCGCGUAGGCGGGAUGGCAAGUCAGUCGUGAAAUCUCUCGGCUCAACCGAGAAACGUCGGCUGAUACUGCCGUUCUUGAGGGAUGCAGAGGAGACUGGAAUUCCCGGUGUAGCGGUGAAAUGUGUAGAGAUCGGGAGGAACACCGGUGGCGAAGGCGGGUCUCUGGGCAAUUCCUGACGCUGAGGCGCGAAAGCGUGGGGAGCAAACGGG